AUGAACGCUGGCGGCGUGCCUAAUACAUGCCAGUCGAGCGAACAGACGAGGAGCUUGCUCCUCUGACGUUAGCGGCGGACGGGUGAGUAACACGUGGAUAACCUACCUAUAAGACUGGGAUAACUUCGGGAAACCGGAGCUAAUACCGGAUAAUAUAUUGAACCGCAUGGUUCAAUAGUGAAAGACGGUUUUGCUGUCACUUAUAGAUGGAUCCGCGCCGCAUUAGCUAGUUGGUAAGGUAACGGCUUACCAAGGCAACGAUGCGUAGCCGACCUGAGAGGGUGAUCGGCCACACUGGAACUGAGACACGGUCCAGACUCCUACGGGAGGCAGCAGUAGGGAAUCUUCCGCAAUGGGCGAAAGCCUGACGGAGCAACGCCGCGUGAGUGAUGAAGGUCUUCGGAUCGUAAAGCUCUGUUAUUAGGAAAGAACAAAUGUGUAAGUAACUAUGCACGUCUUGACGGUACCUAAUCAGAAAGCCACGGCUAACUACGUG
rnacentral:rRNA from 1 species